rnacentral:rRNA from 1 species
UACGUAGGAGACGAGCGUUGUCCGGAGUUACUGGGCGUAAAGGGUGCGCAGGUGGUUGUGCGCGUGAGGGGUGAAAUCGCCCGGCUUAACUGGGCGGGGGCCUUCCAGACGGCGUGACUUGAGGCGCGGAGGGGGACGUGGAAUUCCGGGUGGAGCGGUGAAAUGCGUAGAGAUCCGGAGGAACACCGACGGCGCAGGCAGCGUCCUGGCCGCGACCUGACGCUCAGGCACGAAAGCGCGGGGAGCGAACAGG